rnacentral:rRNA from 1 species
UACAGAGGUCCCGAGCGUUGUUCGGAUUCACUGGGCGUAAAGGGUGCGUAGGUGGCGUGGUAAGUUUGAUGUGAAAGCUCAGGGCUUAACCCUGAAAUGGCAUUGAAUACUACUGUGCUGGAGGUUUGGAGGGGGGACUGGAAUUCUUGGUGUAGCAGUGAAAUGCGUAGAUAUCGUAAGGAAGACCAGUGGCGAAGGCGGGUCUCUGGACAGUUCCUGACGCUGAGGCACGAAGGCCAGGGGAGCAAACGGG